GACGAACGCUGGCGGCGUGCUUAACACAUGCAAGUCGAACGGUGAAGCGAGUGCUUGCACUCGUGGAUCAGUGGCGAACGGGUGAGUAACACGUGAGUAACCUGCCCAUCACUCUGGGAUAAGCACUGGAAACGGUGUCUAAUACUGGAUACGACCAACCCUUGCAUGGGGUGUUGGUGGAAAGAUUUAUCGGUGAUGGAUGGACUCGCGGCCUAUCAGCUUGUUGGCGGGGUAAUGGCCCACCAAGGCGACGACGGGUAGCCGGCCUGAGAGGGUGACCGGCCACACUGGGACUGAGACACGGCCCAGACUCCUACGGGAGGCAGCAGUGGGGAAUAUUGCACAAUGGGCGAGAGCCUGAUGCAGCGACGCCGCGUGAGGGAUGGCGGCCUUCGGGUUGUAAACCUCUUUCAGCAGGGAAGAAGCGAAAGUGACGGUACCUGCAGAAGAAGCACCGGCUAACUACGUG
rnacentral:rRNA from 1 species